UCUGUGUGUGUGUGUGUGUGUGUGUGUGUGUGUGUGUGUGUGUGUGUGUGUGUGUGUGUGUGUGUGUGUGUGUGUGUGUGUGUUUCUGUGUGUGUGUGUGUGUGUGUGUGUGUGUGUGUGUGUGUGUGUAUACUGUAGACUGGCUUCAAUUCAACCAUCCGAUCUUGAGAACGUUUUCUUAUUUGUAUUUUCUUUUGACGGUGGCUCUCAUGUCCUAAUGUUCUCCUUCACAGUGGGGGGGUUCUAUCCUGUACUUUCCCCUCGUCUCAGAAGGGACAUGGCUACAUACAGUAUAGACUACUCUAAGUAAUGUGGUAUAGGUGCAGGCCUCCUUAUGUAGAAGGACUUUUAUUUUGAAGUGAAUCGACUGAAUUGAAUUGAUUUCCUAAUGUUUAUAUGUAGCUAAUAGAGAACGUAUAUGAUAUCGGAACACAUGAUCUAACACUUGAAACAUGUCAAAAGCAAUGUGACACACUACUACUGUCCUGUCUAUGGCUGUCUAUGGCUGUCUAUGGCUGUCUAUGGCUGUCUAUGGCUGUCUAUGGCUGUCUAUGGCUGUCUAUGGCUGUCUAUGGCUGUCUAUGGCUGUCUAUGGCUGUCUAUGGCUUUCUAUGGCUGUCUAUGGCUGUCUAUGGCUGUCUAUGGCUGUCUAUGGCUGUCUAUGGCUGUCUAUGGCUGUUUCGUGUCCGUAAUGUGAUGAUUGUACUCUUUGUGAUGAUGGAACUCAAGCUCAAGAGAAGGAAGUGUUGAAAAUGCACCUAGAAGGUUAUCCAUUGUCCUGUGAGAAGGACUUACAAACACACACACACACACACACACACACACACACACACACACACACACACACACACACACACACACACACACACACACACACACACACACACACACACACACACACACACACACACACACACACACACACACACACACACACACACACACACACACACAACAGCUGGCUUUCCUUCCAGGUUUGGACAGACCGAGGGGGAACCUGUAAUGAGGUGGGAUACUUGAUUGAAUCCCCUAAGAGCAAUCAAACUUAAUCAGCCCCCUUAAUCAGCCCCCUUAAUCAGCCCCCUUAAUCAGCCCCCUCACAUAGUCUAGUCGGCAAAUAGGUGCACUCACUCUCCCACUGCCCCUUAAAUGACAACCUAUUCCCUAUGAUGUGUGCUACUUUUGACCAGAGCCUAUAGAGCUGUAGUCCCCUACUGUAGUCCCCUACUUUUGACCUGGGUCCCCUCGUCAGCAGGGCUCACCCACUUUCACCUCCUGGCCUGCCACUCCUGAUCUACUAAGAUGAAUCAUCAGUCUAAGUGUAAGAGGAUUGAAGAGUUGGAGGAUGUGAUAUGAGAGGAGAAAAUAUGGGCUUCUGAUAAUAGAGGACUAAUAUAGUCACUACUGGGGUAUGCAAAUAAUAUACAUGACAAGGUCAAAAAACCUCGGAAACACUACUGCAAACUGGUUGAAUGAAAUGAUGGAUGUGUGGUGUGGAGAAGUGGUUUUAUUUGAGCGGGUGUUCGUGGCUAACGCAAACCGCUGUAACACUUGAUGUAUCUCUAUGAGCUGUGUUGCUGAACUUUUCAAAUCAUAAAUGUCAAUAAUUUAAAGAUAAUAAUAGCAUACUUUCAUUCAUUAUUAUUUUAUCUCAAUAAGAUCAGAGGAUAUGAAGAAGGAACAUGUUAUGCCUAUGACCUAUGACCUAUGACUUCUCUCAAUGUAUUUGAUUUAUUUCUAUAAAUACACACACAUAUAUAUACACAAGGGGGCAAAAAAAGUGUUUAGUCAGCCACUAAUUGUGCAAGUUCUCCCACUUAAAAAAGAUGAGAGAGGCCUGUAAUUUUCAUCGUAGGUACACUUCAACUAUGACAGAUAAUAGACUUACAGAAAACGUUUGACCUUUGUCAUUGCCAACAAAGGGUAUAUAACAAAGUAUUGAGAUAAACUUUUGUUAUUGACCAAAUACUUAUUUUCCACCAUAAUUUGGAAAUUAAUUAAUUAAAAAUUCUACUAUGUGAUUUUCUGGAUUUUUUUUCCUCAUUUUAUCUGUCAUCUUUGAAGUGUACCUAUGAUGAAAAUUACAGGCCUCUCUCAUCUUUUUAAGUGGGAGAACUUGCACAAUUGGUGGCUGACUAAAUACUUUUUUGCCCCACUGUAUAUAUAUACUGAACAAAAAUAUGAACGCAACAUGCAACAAUUUCAAAGCUUUUGCUGCGUUACAGUUCAUACAAGGAAAUGUGUCAACUUAAAUUCAUUAAGCCCUAAUCUAUGGACUUUAGAUGACUGCGCAGGGGUGCAGCCAUGGGUGGGCCUGGGAGGACAUAGGCCCACCCACUUGGCAGUCAGACCCUCCCACUGGGGAACCAGGCCAAGCCAAUCAAAAUAAGUUUUCCCCCACAAAACUGCUUUAUUACAGACAGAAAUAGUCCUCAACAACAGUGGAGGCAGCUUGGCACCUGUGUAAUGAUCAUGCUGUUUAAUCAGCUUCUUGAUAUGCCACACCUGUCAGGUGGAUGGAUUAUCUUGGCAAAGGAUAAAUGCUCACUAACAUGGAUGUGAACAAAAUUAGAGAAAUCAGCUUAUGCAAAAUGUCUAGCAUUUUUUAUUUCAGCUCAUGAAACAUGGGACCAACACUUUACACUUUUUUUUUUCAGUAGAAAUUCCAUUAUUGUUUUCUACUCAAACAAUUAUUCCAUACACUAUUGACUUUCAAACACACACAUUAUAAUUGAUUUGUGUCUAGUAUAUUGAGUAUAUCCAGCAGAAUGACACACUGUUCUGGGCACUGGGUACAGAGUAUUUGAUUAUGUGUAGCCUAUCAUUUAAUAUGAAUAAACGGUUGUUCAGUCUUACUUUGUGGCAAGUCAGGGCCAAUGUAAAAUAAAGGUUAAAUUAAUAAAAAUGGAGACAGUUGAGUGGAAUAGGAAGCAAGAAUGAACUCAUGAAAGUGUUUAUUUUUUCAGUCGUUCUUUGUAAAUAUAGAAAACUGCAGUAGGAUCUAGGUUGGGGGGUACAAUGGCGGCACAAGUUGCAAAUGAGGCAUACAAAUAGGGGUACAAAAUAUUUCUGAAAUCAUUGCAGGUCUUUACCUCCAGACCACCUUGUCAGGCUCUUCUCUAUUAUCUUUAAAUAACCAUGACAACACGGUGUAUUUAUAAGGCUACAAAAGGGCAAACCAUGUAAAGAUUGUGAUUAUUAAUUGUCUGCCUUGUACUUUCUGAUGUAAAUGUGUUUUUAAAACAUAGAAAAACUAGACAAAAACAUACAAAAAACGUGACUUAUUUCACUUUGCCUAAUUAUUUUGAUGAUUAUUUUGUGUGUUUUGCAUCAAUUCUGGACAGUUAGCGAGAUACGUUCUACUUCUGUCACUCUUACGGAAUACAGAACCUUUCAUUACUCUAAAAGUAAUUUAUUGUAUAUAUUGUGUUCGCAUGAAUCAACUGUGAUUUUAGAUGUGAAUACGUACACACUUUUUUCCUACUCACUUCAACUACUGUGAUGUGGAAUUUAUUAAUUAUUAUUCAUGCCUAACAUUAAAUAUCAUGUUUUAUUGACUCA
ensembl:lncRNA